rnacentral:rRNA from 1 species
CGCGGCCUAUCAGCUUGUUGGUGAGGUAACGGCUCACCAAGGCGACGACGGGUAGCCGGCCUGAGAGGGCGACCGGCCACACUGGGACUGAGACACGGCCCAGACUCCUACGGGAGGCAGCAGUGGGGAAUAUUGCACAAUGGGCGGAAGCCUGAUGCAGCGACGCCGCGUGAGGGAUGACGGCCUUCGGGUUGUAAACCUCUUUCAGCAGGGAAGAAGCGAAAGUGACGGUACCUGCAGAAGAAGCGCCGGCUAACUACGUGCCAGCAGCCGCGGUAAUACGUAGGGCGCAAGCGUUGUCCGGAAUUAUUGGGCGUAAAGAGCUCGUAGGCGGCUUGUCGCGUCGGAUGUGAAAGCCCGGGGCUUAACCCCGGGUCUGCAUUCGAUACGGGCAGGCUAGAGUUCGGUAGGGGAGAUCGGAAUUCCUGGUGUAGCGGUGAAAUGCGCAGAUAUCAGGAGGAACACCGGUGGCGAAGGCGGAUCUCUGGGCCGAUACUGACGCUGAGGAGCGAAAGCGUGGGGAGCGAACAGGAUUAGAUACCCUGGUAGUCCACGCCGUAAACGGUGGGAACUAGGUGUUGGCGACAUUCCACGUCGUCGGUGCCGCAGCUAACGCAUUAAGUUCCCCGCCUGGGGAGUACGG